AUUUUCUGCAGCCCGUAAGAGUUCCUCCGUGCGCCCAACCCAUGCGCCCUCAGCACGGACGGGACCCGGGACAAGCAGUCGUCGUUCAUAUCCAAAGAGAGGCCAGGGAAACCGCGUCCUGGUAUCUCAACCUAUGGACAGGAGCCAGAUGUAGGCCAUCUGGUGAGCUCAUGGACUGUGCGUAAAAGAAGAGCAGCAGCGGAACAAGAUGUCUCGUAUUCUACAAAAUCUCCAGUUUCACUGAAUUUCACUACAGCUCUCUCGUUCAAGUCUGUCGUCAUCUGAUCGACCUGAAUGAAAGAGAUAAGCGGCCCACGGGGGGUUAAUGUCGUGGGUCUGACCUCAAGAGGGAGCCAAACCGCAGAGGCUUCAAGAAACAGCACACCUUUAUCAGCCAAGGCCACACUGGGCCCCACCUGUCCCACAUGUGCACACUCUGGGUGUUAUCACAACACAACACACUGGAUUCCCUGGAGUUGUAGCACAUGAUGCGAGCGGCGCAUCCAGUACAGCUGCAGGCAGAAAGUGGAGCACAACAUCUCCAUCACCAUCGUGCCACUCUGCACGUCUGCACACUGCAGGGGCGCUGAUAAUGGAUAUGAAAAAAAGAGGUUGGAUAUACACAGAAAGAGAGAGGAUAACAGGAGUGUCACAGUAGCUACUGCACAAUAAGAGGAUGACAGCGAUCUGUACAUGAAGUCCACUAUUUUUAUUACGCUCAGCCGAGUCGAGCCAGGAUUGGCGGUCCGAGUCCUCUGUGGUGAUCCUCUUCUGGAAGCAUUUGUUCUCAAAGUAAAAAUAAAAGUCCCCCUGGUGUUG